GACGAACGCUGGCGGCGUGCUUAACACAUGCAAGUCGAGCGGUAAGGCCCUUUCGGGGGUACGACGAGCGGCGAACGGGUGAGUAACACGUGGGUGACCUGCCCUCAGCUCUGGGAUAAGCCUGGGAAACCGGGUCUAAUACCGGAUAUGACUCCAUGACGCAUGUUGUGGGGUGGAAAGCCUUGUGCGGCUGAGGAUGGGCCCGCGGCCUAUCAGCUUGUUGGUGGGGUGAUGGCCUACCAAGGCGACGACGGGUAGCCGGCCUGAGAGGGCGACCGGCCACACUGGGACUGAGACACGGCCCAGACUCCUACGGGAGGGCAGCAGUGGGGAAUCUUGCGCAAUGGGCGAAAGCCUGACGCAGCGACGCCGCGUGAGGG
rnacentral:rRNA from 1 species